rnacentral:rRNA from 1 species
GACGAACGCUGGCGGCGUGCUUAACACAUGCAAGUCGAGCGGUAAGGCCCUUUCGGGGGUACACGAGCGGCGAACGGGUGAGUAACACGUGGGUGACCUGCCCUCAGCUCUGGGAUAAGCCUGGGAAACCGGGUCUAAUACUGGAUAUGACUCCAUGACGCAUGUUGUGGGGUGGAAAGCCUUGUGCGGCUGAGGAUGGGCCCGCGGCCUAUCAGCUUGUUGGUGGGGUGANGGCCUACCAAGGCGACGAUCGGUAGCUGGUCUGAGAGGAUGAUCAGCCACACUGGGACUGAGACACGGCCCAGACUCCUACGGGAGGCAGCAGUGGGGAAUUUUGGACAAUGGGGGCAACCCUGAUCCAGCCAUGCCGCGUGCGGGAAGAAGGCCUGGUGUAACGU